rnacentral:rRNA from 1 species
GGAUACGAUCAUACCAAUUCUAAUGCACCGGAUUCCAUCAAAACUUCGCAGUUAAUUGUGUUUGGGUGAAAAUAGUAUUAAGAUAAAUGACCUUCCGGAAAAUCCUCGUAUUGCAUCCA